AUGGCUUAACCAUAGAACUGCUUGGGAAACUGAUAAUCUAGAGUGAGGGAGAGGCAGAUGGAAUUGGUGGUGUAGGGGUAAAAUCCGUAGAGAUCACCAGGAAUACCCAUUGCGAAGGCGAUCUGCUGGAACUCAACUGACGCUAAUGCGUGAAAGCGUGGGGAGCAAACAGGAUUAGAUACCCUGGUAGUCCACGCCCUAAACGAUGUAUACUAGUUGUUGCUAAGCUAGUCUUGGCAGUAAUGCACCUAACGGAUUAAGUAUACCGCCUGGGGAGUACGGUCGCAAGAUUAAAACUCAAAGGAAUAGACGGGGACCCGCACAAGCGGUGGAGCAUGUGGUUUAAUUCGAAGAUACGCGAAGAACCUUACCCGGACUUGAUAUCUAACAAAUCAUCUAGAGAUAGAAGAGUGUCUGCUUGCAGAAAUGUUAAGACAGGUGCUGCACGGCUGUCGUCAGCUCGUGUCGUGAGAUGUUGGGUUAAGUCCCGCAACGAGCGCAACCCACGUCAUUAGUUGCUA
rnacentral:rRNA from 1 species